AAACUAAGACCUGGAAAGGGGAGAUACCAUGAUCACAAAGGUGGUUUUGCCAGGGCAAGGCUGAUCUAUUGCACUCCAGGACCUGCUGACUCCUGCCAUUUCCCCACAUGGGGGAAACUCCACUGCAUAAUUUGUGUUGGUGGGGGGUUGUGUGUGUGCUUUCCCUGA
ensembl:snRNA U1 U1 spliceosomal RNA